AUGCUUCGAGGAGUCGGGCAUUUGUCGGGUCUAAGGAGAAAUCUAAUUUCGCUUGGAGUUCUUCAUGAUGGUGGUAUGGUAUUCCAUUGUGAUCGGGAUAAGAAGACCAUGAGAAUCAUGGAAGAUGAGGUGACCAUGAUAAUUGGAGGAAGGACGGUUUCACAUCUUUACAAGUUGCAAGGGAGCACUAUUGCAGGUGGAGUCACAGAGACUGGAGUUGCGGGAGUAGCAGCGGGAUCCCACGGUGGCGGCGGGUCUGGGGCGGACUCGUUGAGUAGCUCUUGUUAA
rnacentral:rRNA from 1 species